UAGCCUGACGUAAAUGGCAAGUAGAGUUACGUUGGCGAUUUGAGUGAUUUGAUUGGCUAGCCAGUGAACGCAGACUGUCGAAUGUCGCGAACUGCGUGUAUCGAGUCGCACGUGCGAAAAUUAAGUUUUUUCUCUGCGUUAACUGCUUCUGUCGAGCGGACAUUCUCAGCCGUAAAGCGAAUGGAAACUUCGGCCGCAACUACGACAGGUCAGAGUGGACUUUCGUCGUUAGCAUGGUUAGCGAUAGAGAAGGACUUGGUGUUAGAACUGGAAUUCACGGAUAAUUUACACAACUGUAAUUGAAAAUCAUGGAAUCAAGGAAGGAGAGGAGAGUGGAUUUUGUGUACGAUCACAAGUUUGGCUCACACCUCAUGGUGGCAGUGUGGACGAGAUGACUGUGACAGAGGCACGCAGGAGACAAGGCAACAAAACAACAGUGAGGUUUAUUGAAUCAUUGACUGGAGCGUCUUCAAGGUCACCUGAGGACAAACAACACCAUUCAGUCUGCACACGGGCAACAGACAGAAGCUGCAUUUUUCUGUACUCCCAGUUUGAUGCAGCCUGUACUACAGACUAGAACAAAAAAAAAAAAGAAAGAAAACCCAAAAUCCCAGUCCACACUGUAGGUGUGAUUGGGCUGCAAAAUGAAAAUCCUUAAAGGAGUCAAAUGAGCAUGGAGACUGGAGGUCCACCCACUGGCUGUCUCUUCUUUCAUUCCAAUUCAUUUCAAUUACCCAGUCACUCCCACCUCCUUCACCAUGUCCCGAUUAGCUCUGCUUGGCAAUUUACAGUUGAUCUGGCCUCAUCUAAUGCCAAGCAAUGGUGGAGGCACGAAAACCAGCAGUAAUGGAAUGAAAUGUCACUCAGUUGCUGCCUUUGUCACAAAGACGCAGGGAGGUUUGGGGGAAGAUGGGGGAUGUUGGUAAGAUGGGGUGAGAAGUUGUGUGUGUUGGACUCUUGUGGUUGUGCUUUUACUCAAACAGACAACCCCGGGACCUCUGCAUCACCAGUUACCAGAGCAUCUCCCCUCAUCUUGGUCGCCCUCACGGCUUCUUCAUCUUCUUCACUGAUGAUGAGCUGGAUGCUGAUUCUCUCCGUUUGCGCUGUGAUAGGACGCAAAAUAUCACAGGCCACGACUGAAGAUCACCGCCUGGGGUGGACGCAGCAGUGCUGUUGAGUUCUCCGCCUGGCGCUACAGCGGCGAGCGCUGCACCUGCUGUUCCACACGCUCCCCCGCCGCCCGCCUUCAGAAGAGCCUCGUAGCGAUG